rnacentral:rRNA from 1 species
UACAGAGGGUGCGAGCGUUAAUCGGAAUUACUGGGCGUAAAGGGUGUGUAGGUGGUUGAAUAAGUUAGAUGUGAAAUCCCCGAGCUUAACUUGGGAAUUGCGUUUAAAACUGUUUAACUAGAGUCCUAUAGAGGGUGGCGGAAUUUCCGGUGUAGCGGUGAAAUGCGUAGAUAUCGGAAGGAACACCAGUGGCGAAGGCGGCCACCUGGAUAGAGACUGACACUGAGACACGAAAGCGUGGGUAGCAAACAGG